GAUGAACGCUGGCGGCGUGCCUAAUACAUGCAAGUCGAGCGAACGGACGGGAAGCUUGCUUCUCUGACGUUAGCGGCGGACGGGUGAGUAACACGUGGAUAACCUACCUAUAAGACUGGGAUAACUUCGGGAAACCGGAGCUAAUACCGGAUGAUAUAUUGAACCGCAUGGUUCAAUAGUGAAAGACGGUUUUGCUGUCACUUAUAGAUGGAUCCGCGCUGCAUUAGCUAGUUGGUAAGGUAACGGCUUACCAAGGCGACGAUGCGUAGCCGACCUGAGAGGGUGAUCGGCCACACUGGAACUGAGACACGGUCCAGACUCCUACGGGAGGCAGCAGUAGGGAAUCUUCCGCAAUGGGCGAAAGCCUGACGGAGCAACGCCGCGUGAGUGAUGAAGGUCUUCGGAUCGUAAAACUCUGUUAUUAGGGAAGAACAAAUGUGUAAGUAACUAUGCACGUCUUGACGGUACCUAAUCAGAAAGCCACGGCUAACUACGUG
rnacentral:rRNA from 1 species